UACGGGGGGUGCAAGCGUUAUUCGGAAUCACUGGGCGUAAAGCGCGCGCAGGCGGCCGUUUAAGUCAGAUGUGAAAGCCCGGGGCUCAACUCCGGAAGUGCAUUUGAUACUAUUCGGCUUGAGUAUGGGAGAGGGAAGUGGAAUUCCUGGUGUAGAGGUGAAAUUCGUAGAUAUCAGGAGGAACACCGGUGGCGAAGGCGACUUCCUGGACCAAUACUGACGCUGAGGCGCGAAGGCGUGGGGAGCAAACAGGAUUAGAUACCCUGGUAGUCCACGCAGUAAACGGUGAUCACUAGGUGUAGCGGGUAUUGACCCCUGCUGUGCCGAAGCUAACGCAUUAAGUGAUCCGCCUGGGGAGUACGGCCGCAAGGUUAAA
rnacentral:rRNA from 1 species